rnacentral:rRNA from 1 species
CCUGAACGAGCAAUGCCGCGGGAGUGAAGAAGGUCUUCGGAUCGUAAAGCUCUGUUGUAAGAGAAAAAGGGCGCAUAUAGGAAAUGAUAUGCGAUUGAUGGUAUCUUACCAGAAAGCCACGGCUAACUACGUGCCAGCAGCCGCGGUAAUACGUAGNUGCCAGCGUUAUCCGGAAUGAUUGGGCGUAAAGGGUGCGUAGGUGGCGCGAUAAGUCUGGAGUAAAAGGGAGCGGCUCAACCGCUGUUGGCUCUGGAAACUGUCGAGCUAGAGUGCAGGAGAGGGCGAUGGAAUUCCAUGUGUAGCGGUAAAAUGCGUAGAUAUAUGGAGGAACACCGGUGGCGAAGGCGGUCGCCUGGCCUGCAACUGACACUGAAGCACGAAAGCGUGGGGAGCAAAUAGGAUUAGAUACCCUAGUAGUCCACGCCGUAAACGAUGAGGACUAAGUGUUGGGGGAACUCAGUGCUGCAGUUAACGCAAUAAGUCCUCCGCCUGGGGAGUAUGCACGCAAGUGUGAAACUCAAAGGAAUUGACGGGGGCCCGCACAAGCGGUGGAGUAUGUGGUUUAAUUCGAAGCAACGCGAAGAACCUUACCAGGUCUUGACAUCCCUUGCGAAGGUGCAGAGAUGUAUCAGAGGUUAUCAAGGAGACAGGUGGUGCAUGGUUGUCGUCAGCUCGUGUCGUAGAUGU